UUAGAUUUUAUUUAUUAAUUUUGUUUAUUUGUAUUUAAAGUAUUAAAAAUAAUUAUAAAAAAAAAAGUUUUAGUAUUGUUUAUAGAAAAAAUAAAUUUAAUAAUAGUUUAAAAGUAUUGUAAAAGAAAAUUGAAAUAUUUUGAAAAAUUUUUAUUUAAAAAGAAAAUUUAAUUUAUUGUACCUUGUGUAUCAGUGUUUAUUAAAUAAAAAAUAUAAAAAAUGUUUUUCUCGAUUUUAAAAGAGUUAAUAUAAUAUAAAAGUUAAUGUAGUAAAAUUAUUUUUAAUAUUAUAUUAGAAAUGAAAUGUUAUUCGUUUUUAAAGGUAUCUAGUUUUUCAAGAAAUAAAUUUAAUUUAGAAAUUGUAAAUUUAUUUAAAAAAUUUUUUAAUUAAAUAAUUUAUAAUUUUAAUAUUUUAUGGGAUAAGCUGUGGAAUAAAAAAUUAAAAAUAAUAAAUAAAUAUUAAUAAAUAUAUGUUUAAAAUUAGCAAUUGUUUACAAUUAUGUUAUAAUUUAUUUUAUAAAUCAAAUUAUUUAUUAAAUUUUAAUUAUUUAUUGAAAUAUUAAUUUUAAUUUUUAAAAUUAAGCAAUAAUGAUAAAAUUAGUAUAUAUUUAUUGUAAAAAUAAAUUUAAAUGAAAAGUUUAUGUAAAG
rnacentral:rRNA from 1 species